AAUGGGAGAUGUUCUUUCAUUUGUAGAGAAGGCACAAGAAGUCAUGCGCCAAGAAGAUGCUGAAGACUUGCAAAAGAAGAUAAUGAGUGCCAAGUUUGACUUCAAUGAUUUCCUAAAGCAAACUCGCGCAGUUGCACGUAUGGGUUCCAUGACUCGUGUCAUAGGGAUGAUCCCAGGAAUGGGGAAGAUUACUCCUGCACAAAUUCGAGAAGCGGAGAAGAGUUUGAAGAUAAUGGAAGCAAUGAUUGAAGCAAUGACUCCUGAGGAAAGAGAGAAGCCAGAAUUGUUGGCAGAAUCUCCUGACAGGAGGAAGAGAGUUGCUCAGGAUUCCAGGAAAACAGAGCAGCAGGUGAGUCAACUUGUUGCUCA
rnacentral:misc_RNA from 1 species